GACGAACGCUGGCGGCGUGCUUAACACAUGCAAGUCGAACGGAAAGGCCCUGCUUUUGUGGGGUGCUCGAGUGGCGAACGGGUGAGUAACACGUGAGUAACCUGCCCUUGACUUUGGGAUAACUUCAGGAAACUGGGGCUAAUACCGGAUAGGAGCUCCUGCUGCAUGGUGGGGGUUGGAAAGUUUCGGCGGUUGGGGAUGGACUCGCGGCUUAUCAGCUUGUUGGUGGGGUAGUGGCUUACCAAGGCUUUGACGGGUAGCCGGCCUGAGAGGGUGACCGGCCACAUUGGGACUGAGGUGCGGCCCAGACUGCUACGGGAGGCAGCAGUGGGGAAUAUUGCGCAAUGGGCGGAAGCCUGAUGCAGCAACGCCGCGUGCGGGAUGACGGCCUUCGGGUUGUAAAACGCUUUCGCCUGUGACGAAGCGUGAGUGACGGUAAUGGGUAAAGAAGCACCGGCUAACUACGU
rnacentral:rRNA from 1 species